rnacentral:rRNA from 1 species
AUUGAACGCUGGCGGCAUGCCUUACACAUGCAAGUCGAACGGCAGCAUGAUCUAGCUUGCUAGAUUGAUGGCGAGUGGCGAACGGGUGAGUAAUACAUCGGAACGUGCCCUGUAGUGGGGGAUAACUAGCCGAAAGAUUAGCUAAUACCGCAUACGACCUGAGGGUGAAGGUGGGGGACCGCAAGGCCUCAUGCUAUAGGAGCGGCCGAUGUCUGAUUAGCUAGUUGGUGAGGUAAAGGCUCACCAAGGCGACGAUCAGUAGCUGGUCUGAGAGGACGAUCAGCCACACUGGGACUGAGACACGGCCCAGACUCCUACGGGAGGCAGCAGUGGGGAAUUUUGGACAAUGGGCGAAAGCCUGAUCCAGCAAUGCCGCGUGUGUGAAGAAGGCCUUCGGGUUGUAAAGCACUUUUGUCCGGAAAGAAAUGGCUCUGGUUAAUACCUGGGGUCGAUGACGGUACCGGAAGAAUAAGGACCGGCUAACUACGUG